UGAGACAGAACUAAGGGAGAGGGACUCGAGGGAGAGAGAUCUGCGGGACGAGGGCACGAGGGAUGCAGCGCUGCCCUGGUUGUGCCGGUCGGUGACGGCGGCAGCUCACCGGCAGUGGCGAGAGGCGGCGUGGUUGGGGUGUGCUCGGGGCCCCCUCCCGACCAUAUCGUAUUGGGGGGUUGGUGGCUGCUAGCGCUGGGUGGAGCUACGAGGUUGCAGGAGUAGCCGUGGCCGUCAGAUUUCAAUCUGGACGGUCCUAAUU
rnacentral:lncRNA from 1 species